rnacentral:lncRNA from 1 species
AAACAAAGGGAAAAAAAUUCACUGAGAAAAACUCAACGGCUAGUUAAAACAACUUAACAAGCAGCAUAAAGAAACACGCGCUGGAAAAUAUUAACAAUCGUAGAACGCGAGUUUCCUAUAAGGUAUCAGGUAUCUUGCGGUGAUACCCCGACCAACGGAUCUGAAAUAGCACGAAUGAUACACGGCAGUAAUCCAAGCCGAGUCCAGACAAUCUGAGAUCAAAGUUUUUGCGAAUUCACAUACGAUCUGCGCAUUGAUCCGCAGAACACCUUAACAACUCCCGGUGGGAAUCGCCGACACAGAUUUAUCACGGUGGAACGUGCGCUCCGGCUAUUUCCACUACGUUUUGUGCUGCCUCAAGAAUUCCUCGGUGAAAUUAUCGGACGAUGCUAAUAGGCCGCUGGAAAUCAGGACGUACAUUAUAGGAUCGCUAGCAGUUUCAACAAAAUCAAUGCUACGACUGUUAAUUGACGGCCAAGAUUCAAGUUAUAGUACUGGACCAUCACUGACAAAUGAUUGGAAAAAAUGACUAGGUCAGUACCGAAUCCAAGUUAUCAUCCAGUACUUAGUCAGUACUGCGCCAGUAAUUGAACUUGUGGCAACCAAUAAUAGCCCAGCAUUAAGUCGAUUGUAAAACCCUAUAUAGGAUGCGAACAUCAAAGCGAAUGUGUAAGGGUGGUCAAAACCGAUCAAAUAAACGUUCACGAUCAACAGA